CCACUCGUGGACAGCUGUUUCGUUGUUAAUGCAACUCUGAAACUCUGAAGAGUUGCAUUAACAACGAAACAGCUGUCCAUGAGUGG